GAUGAACGCUGGCGGCGUGCCUAAUACAUGCAAGUCGAGCGAACGGACGAGAAGCUUGCUUCUCUGAUGUUAGCGGCGGACGGGUGAGUAACACGUGGAUAACCUACCUAUAAGACUGGGAUAACUUCGGGAAACCGGAGCUAAUACCGGAUAAUAUUUUGAACCGCAUGGUUCAAAAGUGAAAGACGGUCUUGCUGUCACUUAUAGAUGGAUCCGCGCUGCAUUAGCUAGUUGGUAAGGUAACGGCUUACCAAGGCAACGAUGCAUAGCCGACCUGAGAGGGUGAUCGGCCACACUGGAACUGAGACACGGUCCAGACUCCUACGGGAGGCAGCAGUAGGGAAUCUUCCGCAAUGGGCGAAAGCCUGACGGAGCAACGCCGCGUGAGAGAUGAAGGUCUUCGGAUCGUAAAACUCUGUUAUUAGGGAAGAACAUAUGUGUAAGUAACUGUGCACAUCUUGACGGUACCUAAUCAGAAAGCCACGGCUAACUACGCG
rnacentral:rRNA from 1 species